rnacentral:sRNA from 1 species
UUAGAAUAGAAUAGAAUAGAAUUUCUUAGAAUAGAAUUUUCUAUUCUAAGAAAAUAUACUGCAGGCGGGGCACAGAGGCUUACGCCUGUAAUCCCAGCACUUUGGGAGGCCAAGGCAGGAGGAUUGCUUGAGCCCAGGAGUUGGAGAUCAGCCUGGGCAACAAAAAAUAAGUGAGACCCCUGUCUACAAAAAAUAAAAACGGAGUGAAAAUACGUACUGUAAUAUGAAAAGUUACACAAAUUAAGAAUAUAGCAUAGUACUGAGAAUAUGAAAGCAAUCUAGUCAGUAUUUAAUUAUGAAAAUAAAUUUUGGCGGCUGGGUGUGGUAGCUCAUGCCUAUAGUCGCAGCACUUUGGGAGGCUGAAGUGGGCGGAUCACGAGGUCAGGAGAUCAAGACCAUCCUGGCUAACACGGUGAAACCCCAUCUGUACUAAAAAUACAAAAAAAAAAAAAAAAAUUAGCUGUGGUGUCAGGUGCCUGUAGUCCCAGCUACUUGGGAGGAUGAGGCAGGAGAAUGGCGUGAACCCAGGAGGCAGAGCUUGCAGACUGCGCCACUGCACUCCAGCCUGGGCGACAGAGCGAGACUCCAUCUCAAAAAAAAAAAAAAGAAAAAAGAAAAAAAGAAAAGAAAAGAAACUGUGGCAUAUAAGUUUUAUAGGAAAUAGUGCAACCAGUAAAACAUUUUAUAAUGUAUUUCAUAUGCUAGUGUAAUGAACGCAGCAAAGAACAUGUUACGUACUUGACAGACUAUGAUGAUAAAAUUAUGAGAAAUCUUUUGAAGGAAUACAACAGAGCAAAACAUCUGUUUUUAAAAAUUAUCAUUGUGUAUUAUGAAUAUUAAACAAAUGUUUGUGAUUUAUAUGUGAAACAAUGUCUUUUUACUGCUUUCUUGUUUUCCCAAAAGUUGAGUUACCAUUCCAAUUUGAAAUGGACUGUGCACACGCUUCAUUUAGUACUUUUGUAAACUGUGUUUAUAAUCUGACAGCAGCCUGUGAAAUUCAUAAGAAUCCCAUAGGAUGUAAGUCUCCAUGAUGGUAUGCCAAUUACAGAAAUUAGGUUGGUCUGUGUCUUUGUUACUAACAAAAAUAGCUAUAGCAGUGGCCUUCGGAGAUGUAGAGUCUGGGAAAACUUGAUCUUACUGUCAGGCUCUGGCACUGCUUUUACAGUUAUAGCCCUGAUGAGAGCUAUCAGUAGGGAAGAUAAUUUAUGGAGAAAUUUAAUUUUGCUAAAAGAGAUAAAAGUUUAUGCUCAUAACCCUAAUGUAGUUUUUAUCCAUUAUGAGGCCACAAACUCUUUGAGAAUCUGCUGAAAUCUCUAUUAAGAAACUGCCAAAGAGCAUACACAAAAUUUGCAUGCAAUUUCAGGGAAGGUCUUCACCCCAGUUCCCACACUACCCCCUAUCCUCCAUUAUUCCCUCAGACUUAGAAUGUCAGUCCUAAUAGAAAUUAUUAUAUCUACAGGUUCGAGAAAUGGCUGCUACUACGUUAAGCGGUCUGCUACAGUGUAACUUUCUUACCAUGGACAGUCCUAUGCAGAUUCAUUUUGAGCAACUUUGCAAAACAAAACUACCUAAGAAAAGAAAGCGAGACCCUGGUUCUGUAGGAGAUACCAUUCCUUCUGCAGAGUUGGUCAAACGCCAUGCUGGGGUGCUAGGACUUGGUGCAUGUGUUCUUUCUAGUCCUUACGAUGUUCCCACCUGGAUGCCCCAGCUCCUCAUGAAUCUCAGUGCACAUCUAAAUGAUCCUCAGCCUAUUGAGAUGACUGUAAAAAAAACCUUAUCCAAUUUCCGAAGGACUCACCAUGACAACUGGCAGGAACACAAACAGCAAUUCACUGAUGACCAACUGCUUGUUCUCACCGAUCUUCUUGUGUCACCAUGCUAUUAUGCAUAGAAAGGUAAGUCAGCAAAGUUCUGAAUUUACAUUGGUUUGGUGACUGAGAACUAGAUAUUUAUUGUUUUUUUUCUUUUUGCUGACAUUCUUAGAGGUCAGUGUUUAGAUAAAGUUGGAUGGUGGGGAUUGUUUGUUUUUAAACAUGGCUUUUGCUACGGCCAUUGGAAAUGAGAAUUUUGCUGUGCCUCCUUGCUUUAGGUUUAAAGCAGAGAAAAUGUGUGACUGCUUUUGGACCUUUGUAAAUGAGUGGUGUCAGUAGCCUGGGAAUAGUUAAAGGAAAAUAAAUCUUAUUCUCAGUUGCCUCCUGGAUGGGGCUGGGACAUUUUGUGUGGCCCUGAGGACUCUGGGUUCUAAAAGUUGUGAGAACAUUUGAUCUGGAUUCUUACACCCAUUCUGUUAAAGAGGGAGCACCCAGAAGCCUUUCUACUGGAAUAGGAAGAAUAAAAAUUUCAUUUAUUAGGCUUUUAGAGUUGGAUGUCUUGUUAUCUAAUUGAAAUUUUUUCCUCCCUGAUACAGAUGACUAGUCCUCACUUCAGGCUCUUUUCAUCAAAAAUUCCACACCCUCAGGUACCAUCUGUGGUGGCUCUCUGCAAGUUUUAAAAUUGCCUCUGCUGAGCUCUCAUCAUUUUGGUGGUUUCUGUGUUAGAUCUCGUUAGUCUGCAUUCCACAGCUUCUCAGUUGCCAUUUGAUUUCCCAACUUGUCCGGAAGUGUUUCCAGAAUACUGAUCACUUUUUUUUUUUUGAGGCAUCUGACAAAGUCACAAAGUCUCAGACUAGAAAUAAUUACCCAGUAUGAUCAUGGCAUCCAAGACCAGAGUCUCGGAACUCAUUAAGAAACAGUUUACUUGGAAUGGAGAAUACCCAUCUGUAAUACAGGUCCUGUCAUUUCAUUCAUCUCAAAUUGAAUUCUUCCCAAAUGGCUGCUGGAUUUAGAUGGUAGUAGGGCUGUGGGCCAUAAAUCUGAAGCCUUGAGAACCGUGGGUCUGGAGAGUCAUGAAGAGGGAAGGCAAAGAGGGCAAGUCCUGAACCUAACCAGUGACCUGAUGGAUUGCUCGACCAAGACACACAAGUGAAGUCUGUGUCUGUGCACUUCCCACAGACUGGAGUUUUUGGUGCUGAAUAGAGCCAGUUGCUAAAAAAUUGGGGGUUUGGUGAAGAAAUCUGAUUGUUGUGUGUAUUCAAUGUGUGAUUUUAAAAAUAAACAGCAACAACAAU